UACCAGCACCCCGAGUGGUCGGGACGAUUAUUGGGCCUAAAGCAUCCGUAGCCGGCCUUACAAGUCCUCCGUUAAAUCCAGCUGCUUAACAGAUGGGCUGCGGAGGAUACUAUAAGACUAGGAGGCAGGAGAGGCAAGCGGUACUCAGUGGGUAGGGGUAAAAUCCGUUGAUCCAUUGAAGACCACCAGUGGCGAAGGCGGCGACCUGGGUAGAUACUGACGCUGAGGUGCGAAAGCGUGGGGAGCAAACAGG
rnacentral:rRNA from 1 species